GUGGUGGAAAGGGACAUCUUAGUUUUGACUGCCCAACAUGAAAGAAGGAUAUUGAGAAGGUAACGAAAGACAAAGGUGAGUCGGAAAACUAGAAGAGGCUGGUGUUAAGGGGCAACUGCCAGCGAAUAUUCCAAAGAACUCCCAACUCUGAGAAGAGGUGAAAGGAUUGUAAUUGACAGUAUACAAAUGGAUGGUAGAAGUGACGGCUAGAAAUGUCACCUUGUGACUGAUCUGGCCUUAGAAUCAAA